CACGUAGGGUGCGAGCGUUGUCCGGAAUUAUUGGGCGUAAAGGGCUCGUAGGCGGUCUGUCACGUCGGGAGUGAAAACUCGGGGCUUAACCCCGAGCCUGCUUCCGAUACGGGCAGACUAGAGGUAUGCAGGGGAGAACGGAAUUCCUGGUGUAGCGGUGAAAUGCGCAGAUAUCAGGAGGAACACCGGUGGCGAAGGCGGUUCUCUGGGCAUUACCUGACGCUGAGGAGCGAAAGUGUGGGGAGCGAACAGG
rnacentral:rRNA from 1 species